UACGUAGGGGGCAAGCGUUGUCCGGAUUUAUUGGGCGUAAAGAGCGUGUAGGCGGCUUUGCAAGUCCGUUGUGAAAACUCGAGGCUCAACCUCGAGACGCCGGUGGAAACUGCAAAGCUAGAGUCCGGAAGAGGAGAGUGGAAUUCCUGGUGUAGCGGUGAAAUGCGCAGAUAUCAGGAAGAACACCCGUGGCGAAGGCGGCUCUCUGGACUGUCCCUGACGCUGAGACGCGAAAGCGUGGGGAGCAAACAGG
rnacentral:rRNA from 1 species